rnacentral:rRNA from 1 species
ACGAACGCUGGCGGCAGGCCUAACACAUGCAAGUCGAGCGCCCCCGCAAGGGGGAGCGGCGGACGGGUGAGUAACGCGUGGGAAUUUUCCUCAAGGUACGGAACAACUCAGGGAAACUUGGGCUAAUACCGUAUGAUGUCUAGCGACCAAAGAUUUAUCGCCUUGGGAUAAGCCCGCGUCAGAUUAGGUAGUUGGUGGGGUAACGGCCUACCAAGCCUGCGAUCUGUAGCUGGUCUGAGAGGACGAUCAGCCACACUGGGACUGAGACACGGCCCAGACUCCUACGGGAGGCAGCAGUGGGGAAUCUUGCGCAAUGGGCGAAAGCCUGACGCAGCCAUGCCGCGUGAAUGAUGAAGGUCUUAGGAUUGUAAAGUUCUUUCGCUCGUGACGAUGAUGACGGUAACGAGAGA